CCCAGGUUGUGUUUGGAUUUCUUCUCCACAGUCCUUGGAUGUACAUCUACUGCUACCAAGGUCACCAGGGCAGUACCACUCAGCCCCAAUCCAGGGGCUGAAGUGAAUGUUGUGGAGUUCAAGGAGUAUAAGUGUUCUUGGGUGGGAGAGAAUGAACUGCAGUUUGAAGACCGAAGAUCAAGUUCUGUUAGACCUGAAGCAGCUCUCGGCUCCCUGGACACCAAAGUGCAGAAACAUGGAGGUGUAAAGUACAAAGAUGAUGUGGAGUCUCUGCUUGGGGAGAAGCCGCAGCCCAAAGAGCAGGAGCUGUCUGCAGAGCUUCCCCUGACCGAGCAGCUCAGGGCGUCCAUGUUGCUCAUUCGAGAGCAGAAACGGGAGCUCUCUGAGUUAACCAGGAAGCUGAAAGAAGGGAGAGCAGUGUCAUUGCUGCUGAAGGAGUCUCUGGAGGUCCUCCUCAGUCGAAGUCACCCUGACACUGAGCACAGCUGGCUACAGGGACUGGCUGCAGGGUGCAGGCUGGCAGAGCAGCUCAUCCACAUGCUCAAGCCAGGACCUGAAGACAUCCGCAACCAAGAGGAAGUGGUGCGGGAGGGAGUGUCCACCUGGUGAGUGUGAGGGUCAUGGGCUGUGGAGGCAGAGGUGGCCUCUGAGGUCUCAGGGGCAGGGAAAAGCAGGAAGUGCUCAGCUUCCCUACUUGAUCCAUUCUGCCGAGCUGGAAUUGAACUAUUUUCAGAGAUUUUUCUUGUCUUGGGUCGCACCUCCCAUCACUUUGCAGGAUUGGUCACCUGGAGUCCUUGUCGCCCACAGUGAAGUACACUUGGGUUUCCCUGCACUCAGGGCAAAGGAACCUCAACGCUCUCCUGGGGGAGGCCGUUGAGCAGAGACACUGCCCCUCUUUAUGCAGUUUGGCCUUAGUUUGGUGGUGGGGAUUCCACAGCACAAAAUGGGACCAGACCAGAAAGCAAAUCCUGCGGAAUUGCAGUAUGGAAAGGACAGGCUCGGCAGACCCCGGAUCAGUGGGAUCCAGCAGUUCCUCAGGUCCCUUUGUUCCCAGGUGCCCUGCAAGGGACAAGGAACAUGGAGCCCAGUGCUCUGGUGUUGGAGCCCCUGGGUGCUUCUCACUUGUGUGCGCUGCACGCCUGCUCACCCUGAGCUGCGUCUACCCCUCCAGUCCCUUAUAGAAAUCUUCUUUUGAGUAGGGACCCUGGGAAUUUGCUGAUGUGUGCAGGCUGCUGGGCCUUUCCUGGGAUCCUCCUAACUUACAUGGUUAUGGUUACCACAGGGAAGUGAAUAAAACCUAGAAUAUUGAGAAGUUAAACUGAUACUAUUUUAGUGUAUUUCUAAAUUUAACAUCUAUUAACUAAGCAUCUUUGUGGUAAGGUCUACUUUCUGCUUUCCUGGAAAGGAUGAAUUUACAUCAUUUGAUGAGCCUAUUUCACAUUUUUUGGUUGUUUGCUUGUUUUUGUUUUUUCAGUCUAAAAUAAAAAUCUUAAAUGAAUUUUAAUUCUCACAGGUAAUGUCUUAAUUUUGUACUAAUUCAGGUUAGAAGCAGAGACUUAACUUGGAUUAAUGAUUAUUCUGCCCAGUUUAACAUAUUGAAGGAAAAGGAGCCAACUGCGGAAGAUCUCUGUAGAAUAACAGUGUUCUAUACCCAACAACCCUUACCAUAUUCACCUCAUAUCACAUAUGUUCCAUAUGCGGAUGUAUGAUAUACCAAGAAUUCAGGCCUUGGAUGCAUGUACAUAUCUAUGCAUAUAGAGGAUAUAUGUACAUUCAGCAUGUAUUGAUCCAAGUGGGAUGUUCAUGACACACAUCCCUUUUCUAAGGCUCACUGUAAGCUGGGUCUAGAGCUUGAAGGAAAAGAAAGCUGUAAAAUGCAAAAUCUAAAUUUCUGGCUUCUCAAAUUUCUGACAUCAGACCUGCAUUCCCAGACAUAAGGGCCUAAUGGGGAUUUCCAGACCAUGGUAUGACCCUAAACACAGACCAGCCUGAAAAUCAGGGUUGAAUGACAUGAUUCAGGACCUAAGCAUAGCCUCACACCAAGAGUAUGAGAUGGAUAUUGUAUGUCUUGUAAUUAGAAAUAAACAUGACAACAGUGUUCGUCAUUAAAAAAAAAAAAAAAAGCUCUGUCUUCUCUGCACUGGGAGCAGCUCUCCUGCCAGUCUCUCACCCCUGAAAAUGUACAUCUGCUCCAGGUUUGUCUCCACCCCCUCUUUGGUCCAGAGCACCUCCCUGCGCUGAGCCAGCCACUGUCUGCAGUCAUGUUGAACAGACCAAAACCCUGACAGAGACUCAGCGGCUUUGCAGUUCCUUGUCCCCUGACCUCACUUGUCCCUAGCUGCAGCUUCCAAACCAGAGUCAUUUCAAGGGACAUCAACAUGGCAGCCAAGUUCAUAGUGGCUGGGGCUGCCACAGCUGGGGUGGC
rnacentral:lncRNA from 1 species